CCCCCGAGCUGCUCCCGUCUCUCCCAUCGCACAGACCAGUCCUCUCCCCGAUAGCCCUCUCGCGCGCUAGGGUUCCUUGAGCCGCCGCCGCACCGGAGCUCCUCGAUCAGCCCCACCUCCUGCCGCUCCACCCACUGCUUCUCCCUCCUCUCGCAGCACUCGCCCUCUCCGCCGCGCCCGCCUUCCCCGAAGGUUGCUCCCUUCCCCGUCGAUCCUCCAAUCAGCGCGUUGUGGUUGGGGAGCUCAGCAGCCAUGGUCUGAAGGACGUGGGGAAGCCGCCUUCCUCGCUGACGAACGAGGCCCCCUCGAACGCCCCUGCACAGCCACCCACUUCCCUCUCUCCCACCCAGAGCCGCCCUCUUCCCCGCCGACGCCGCCCUCUUCCCUCUCUCCCGCCCCGAGCCGCCCUCUUCCCCGCCCGCGCCGCUCUCUUCCCCGCCGGCGCUGCCCUCCACUCACCUUCUGUUCUUCAAGCAGGGACGGCAAGUCAGCGGGGCAGAGGCCAGAUCCCUCACUUCCACCUACAGAUGCAGCCGCCGCCAUGGGUGAGCUCCUCCUACACGACCAGUUUUGAACAUAGUCCCUGUAAUGGAAUUUCAUGUGUUUCACUUGCAUGAACCAAACAUAUAUGUGUGCUGACAACAUGCCCCUGCAAGUGUAUUGAUUCUCAUGUCAGUUUAGUAAUUGUAAUUAUGUUCCUGCUGGAGCAGGCAACAAAUACCAGGUUCAUUUACAUCUGCAGACUGCAGUUGCUUGUUCAUAAACUAGGUUUGCCUCCUACUGUGUCAUUCAGGUUUUGUUUGUUUGUUUUCCUCGUGCUGUGCACUAACUCCUGCUGUGUCAUUCAGGUCUAAAUUAGUACUAUCCCUGAGCGAAGGUAACGUUUCCAGUUCUUAUAUAGUCCUCAAGUUAAUAAUCUACAGGUUUUUGUCAUUCAGAUCUCGGUGUAGUUUCCUCUUGUUGAUUUUUUAUGCUUGCAGCCUUCUGAAGUUACAACAGUUAGGACUUGCUCUCCAACUUUAAUUUUCAGUUUAGUUUAUGUUAGGAUAGGGUGUAAUCUCUGAACCUGGCAAUCAUCAGUAUUACUAAGAAUUACCUGUUGUUUUACAGUGUAGCAUGCGUUCUUUUACAGUGUACAACUUCUUGCCAAAUUCACUGCAAGUUUUGCCUCUUGAUGUGUUUUAAUCUCUAAUCUAUGUGCAUUGUUAUUUGCCAUUUAAUGCAUAGAAAGUUCAGUGUGAUUGACAAGAGCGAAGGAGAAUAGAGUAAAAUGUGAUUCGUGUCUCAGCCAAGCAGGGCGGCGUGGUCGUCGUAUCGAUCACAGGGCUUCCGAUCAUGGGGCUCCCCUGCUGGAGCGGUUCAUCUCAGACACGGCAGCACCACCACCGGCAAAUGUGGCCCUAUUAAGAUACCACCCCUUCCUCUCAGCUCCCUUGCCCUCUUUGCGCAUAUGUUGUCUGUGGGUGUCCUUGCUAAACAAUCAUUUUUUUACAGAAGGCAUAAGAUACUUUGCUCACUUUGCUGCACAAUUGAAGUAGUUUGCUGGAAACAAGUUUCUACAUGAUUUCCUUUUUGUAUGCCAAUUCUACAAAAUAACAUUACUUUGACUCAGAGUAAAUAUGUAAGUAUGUAACCACUGUGUCUGUUAUAUAUAAGCACUAAUAGGACUAUGUGCGUGCAGGACAUCCUGGUUUCAUACACAUUCACUAAUGCCAAUGCAAGAUGCUGCCAGGGAUGAAAAGUUCGACUUUCCAUGGUCACUUCUAUCCGAAGGAGGUGGAAACUUGAUUUGGUGUCUGAACCUUUCCUGGUGUGUGUACUGUCCAACAGUCAGAUUUGGCUUGAGAAGUUUCAGUCAACUUGUGCUGUUUGUUGUCCAUAUUACACGAAAUGAGUUAGCAUGCUUUAUUAAACUGUUUUUUUUCUUUGCAGUAGUUGACACUCAAGUAUUGUAGUAGUAUGCUAAUUAGGCUUAAGAUACAUUGCCUUCUAACAAAUGAUACAGGACUGCACAAAUGUUCAAUGACCUGAAGUUCCGUCUUCACAAGUGCCAGCGUAACUAUGCAUUAUAAUAUCAUUAUCAUCUUGCCUGGAGGUGUGGGCUGACAAUCAUAGGGAAGGAGUGUAGUGGCCGUCGACUGGGGUUCUAGAACAGACCCAGCAACAAUACGUCCCAACGGCUUAUCCAGGCAACGGAAAAGAAUUAAGAGUUGUGCUGCAGUACUUGAUAGAAACCUAUGGGUGCCUCCCUGGUUAGUCCAAGAGAAUGGCAAGUGGUCACACUGAUCUCCAAAUUUUUAAUUCAGUUUUCAACUAAAAUUAAUCGAUUUGGUAAAUUUGAUGAAGUUUGGCCAUGGUUAUGCACAUACCAGUGCAUCACUGCUUCAAGUCUAUUUAUGAUUGAUGUGGCAUCUCACCUCAGGCAAGGCAUCUGCGAAUGUGACCGACAGGUGGAAUACUAGAAUGCCUACAUAGGGAGCACACCGGAUGGGUUAAGAUUGAUGAGUCAAACAAGAACAAUACUUCUCUUAAUCAGUUGAGGGGCAGAGUUGUGGUCUUUGAUUGUGAAGACGAUUGCAACAAAAACUGAGCUACAUGGAUCUCCACUGCAGGGUCUUGAUAUUCUGAAAGCAAGGCACUAACUGAAUUUCUGUUUUUCAUCCUUAUAUAUCUGCAGUAAAAAAUAGCAUUUUUGGGUAAGGGAGGUUCUUUGCAUUGGUUCCCUUUCUGUAUGGUGUUAUUCCAUCCAUUUCCUUCCUUCUCUGUAGUCAUGUUUGUUAUCCGUUCGAUUACUACGAUAGACAUAUACAUGUAUAUGCGGAUCGUGGUAUAGUUCUAGGUAAAAUUGGAGCAGUUGUUCACUUGUUCUAUAACAGUCGAAAGGGAUUUCCAGUGAAACUCUAGGUAUGUAGCUGUGUUUUAUUUUGAACCAGUAAUAAUACUAGAAUGAUUUCCUGGCCAGGACAAAUUGACGUGUGUGAAUAUCAUUAAACUGCUAUGAUAAAAUAUUUAGUCUAAUAAGAGUCAAAAAAUAUGAUUUUGGGGAAAGUUUUCAUAUCCCAAUCGUGGUACAUUAAGAUAUUGAGUACCUUAUACAUGUAUUGAGUACCUUACUUUCUUGUUAUAGUUGAUCUGCUGAUGGUGCUUCACUACAAAUUACUGGAAUUUUGUGGGCACUACUAAUGAUAAUAUCAUUCUUUCCGCGAGUUGUGGAUACAAUAUUGAAGGUUACAAGUCUAUUAAUCGGCCGCCUACCCAUUUUCUGUUAUUUAGUUACCAGUUUAACUCAUAAAACUAAAGUAUGAUUGGUGCUCGAGAUAAUGUUGUUGCUAAGAAUUCGAAGGUACUGCAUUUCUCUCAUUUUUGUCACCUGGCAAAAUGUUCUCCCAUUAAUAAACUUGUAAUUCAGUUUCUGUUGUCACUAGAUUUUUUUUUGUUAAAAUUGUAGUUUGCAAGGAAACUGUAAUGUUUGAUUUUUUUUUAAUUUGAGGUAAAGCUAAUUGUGUCUUGCAUACACUCAAGUUUUUAUUUGGGUCUGGUUGAAUAACUCAUAUCAGGCGGCAUGGAGCUAAUUUGACUCCUAAAGCCAGUAAGAGGGUUCCUUGGAUGGUCAAUAAGGGGAUGAUGCCAAUUAGUCUGGAUUCUGGAACAAUGCUAACAUUCAAAUCCUUGAACUUGUUGGUGCAUCUGUGCUUUGAGAAAAAAACAGUUAGAAGUAUACUUGUCUAUGAUGGCGGCCGCCCACGCAUUCGAGCCACGAGGACCGUUAAGGGGACCUUGCAAGGCAAUACUUGGGCGCUGGACUUGGAACCAGUCAUUGAUUUGCCAUGCCUGCAACAGUUUUGGAUGCUAUGGCCACGGAUUGCUGAUGUUCAGCUCACGGGAGGAGCAGAGGCCCCCCCAUAAGAUGGGCGUGGAAGAGUAGUGGCAUGUUCUCCGUUCGCCCUGCAUAUGCCUCAAAAUUCGGAGGAAGCGAUGUGGUACCGUACGCGGACGUCACAUGGAACUCGAAGGUCGCCCUUCAAUGUCGGUUCUUCACUUGGUUAGCCAUGUGAAACCGUUGUUGGACGUCUGUUUGACUCACCAAGAGAGGCUUGCCCACCACACACAUGCCCCUUCUACGAAACCGAUGAGACCAUUAACCAUCUUCUCAUUGAAUGCACCUUCACAUGAUCAUCGAUCGGUGUGGCAUAUGGUGUGGUCGGCUAUUGGGAAUCUGGACCAAGUCUCACUGUUGACGAUAACUUGGGAAAUGAAACGAGGGCCAUUCUUUUCUUUUUUGCGAAAUGAAACGAGGACCAUUCUCUCGCUCGUCACUUGGGAACUUUGUAAACACCGCAAUGCUAUUGUCUUUGGUGGAGCAACACUUUCUGUGCUUACGAUCAUCAAGAAAAUUGUGACCGAAGGGAGGACAUGGCAGCAAGCCGGACUACUCAAGGGUAGGUGGGUUAGUAGAGAGUACUCAAUCAUUGUGGCUGAUAGAUGGUGGGCUAUCAUGU